GAAUGUUAGGGCUUUUUAGAAUUUAGUAGGUUUUCUGGUCUUCACCAGAAAGCUCCC
ensembl:snRNA U7 U7 small nuclear RNA